rnacentral:sRNA from 1 species
UACUUGGUUGAGGAAUUACUUCAUUAUU